CUUAGUUAAAUAUUGAUUUUAUUAUUGAACAGUUUUUAAUGGACACAGGAUAAAAUGUAUAGAUAUAAAACAUAAAAAGAAAUAAAUACAAGAAGCCAAUGAUCAUAAUCACAUGGACCUUGAUCUCAUUCAAAACAGCAGUUUCAAUCAGCUCCAAAACACUUGUCCAUCUGUAUACAAUCUUAAAAGCAGCAGAAAAUGAAUUCAACCCUCCCCUCCCCCC